ensembl:miRNA mir214a microRNA 214
GUGGUGUGUCUGCCUGUCUACACUUGCUGUGCAGACCUUCUGCUCCUGUACAGCAGGCACAGACAGGCAGACAGAUGGCAGCCCC